GGCGUAUCAAGUCUUUGAUACUUCAAGUGGCCAUUUGUUUAUCAAAGUGCUUUAGCCAUUGAACUUGUGACCUAACUACCGCAGGUCGAGGUGUUAUCGGCUUUAUCUAGUCAAUUGUUAUUCUUCAAAUUAUUGGCCUUACCUGAAAGGAAGAAAAGUUGUCUCUUAGUGUAAGUGCGUACUACGAAACGAAUCGACUACUAUAUAGGGGAAUGAAGCCUGUCUUAUUGAUGUAUGCAAAUGUAUUCAUGUUGACUGUACGAGUGUGCCUUGAAUAAACAUGCUGGGAUUACCUCCUAUUACCAUGUUCUUUUGGGGAGGCCUGAAUCAAUCCCGAGGAAGAAGAAAAGGGACAACCAUUACUGCUCUCAGCAAGCUGCAUGCAUGCAAGCAAGGGGGAGUGCAACUCGUACGUUCGGCAUAACCAACCGAGCAAGCAACUUGGACAAUGUACGACCAACCAAAGUAAACUGCCACCAAAUUCCCCUAUUCGAUUACCGCCAAGAGAUGUGAUUGUGAAUUAACGCUGAUUCACGGGGCUUCAAAAGGCAAGCGAGCGCCAAUGAAUUGGUCAUGGGCCAUGAUCCUCCGAGUUGGAUAAUGUCAUCGAAUCUUUGGACGUAUGAGUACAUACACACGGUGCUUCCAAAAACGUACAACCCCUGGGCAUUUUAUGGUCAUUUAUCAACACUUCAUUUGGGAGCCUAAAAGCUCGGAUGGAGUGUCAGGUUCAUUUUGAAUUCAGACAUUCAAAUUCAGUGAGGACCUCUCUUAAUCCGAAGUUGCUUCUCAUUUCUUAGGCCAUCGAAUUAAGAUGGGGAAAUGAGUGAGUGAGUGGAAGAGCGGUGCUUGUGGAUUUUUGACGACUUCUGCCGCCAUCCUUUGGCAACGUGGGUUCGAAUACUCUUGAUUUGGUUCCAACUCGGAGUUUUUUACCAAGCGGAGAAAAAUGCAGAAAUGUUGCCUCCAGGGGACAUGUUGCCAUUUUGAUAUGAUAUUCUACUUUUCGAGAACUGAAAUUAGUUUCCUGAGAGAGAUGUCUGCCUUUGGGGCAUGUUUUGCCAUGCUCUUUGCUAGUUUUGGGAUGGAUUAACCCAACAAUCUGCCACCAGACUUUCAGUGCUUUUGAGGCAAACCUUAAGCGAGGGGACUUUAAAGUGACUACUUCACUUUCUCAAAUUCAUUGGUCGAGACAUGUCUUUUUUCUCAAGAAAGUAUUUACUCCAAUAUGCAGCGAUUAAAGAUGAGUGAAUUGGCA